rnacentral:rRNA from 1 species
AUUGAACGCUGGCGGCAGGCCUAACACAUGCAAGUCGAACGAGUGGCGGACGGGUGAGUAAUGUCUGGGAAACUGCCCGAUGGAGGGGUAUAACUACUGGAAACGGUAUCUAAUACCGCAUACCAUCGGCAUUGCCCAUAGGGGUUUAUGUAGGCGGGGGGGUAACGUCUCACCUGGGAGACGAUCCCGAGCUGGUCUGAGAGGAUGAACAGCCACACUGGAAAGGAGACACGGUCCAGACUCCUACGGGAGGCAGCAGUGGGGAAUAUGGCACAAUGGGCGCAAGCCUGAUGCAGCCAUGCCGCGGGUAUGAAGAAGGCCUUAGGGUUGUAAAGUACUUUCAGCGAGGAGGCGUUACUCGCAGAAGAAGCAUCGGCUAACUCCGUGCCAGCAGCCGCGGUAAUAC